UCACUGACUUCAAGAAUGAACCUGUGGACCCUCACGGUUUCUACAGCAAUGUUAUCUUGAAUGGUUUGUCAACAUGUUUCACUGAGAAAACUUAAAGCAACUCUGGUAAUUACAAGUGGAACCUUGUUACAAGUGGAACCUUGACAACUUCAGAAGUGACCAUCACAACCAAACAUUCCCUGCUCUGAAUCACCUGACAUUCACUGUCUCAUUCACACCAGCUUCUUCAGGUGGCCCUUGAUGAUCUGCCUGCCUCCACAGAGGCUCAGAAAAUUAGCCUUUUCUUUUUUUCUAGAUUUCACUCUUCAUGAUGGAUGUGAAAGACAGUAAAGUAUGCUAGUUAAAACCCAGCCUCUGGAGACAGACUGAUGUGGGAUCCUAGAAAAGUCGUCUGCACAGAGCAGGGCAUGGCCUGCAUUCCAAAUUUUGUUAUUCUCAAAGGUCAGUUGUUCUCAGUGGCAGACAACAGAAGCCAAGACUUGCUAAGUAAAACAGAAGACAAAUUUGCUGGAAGGACAUGUGAAAAUGGGCACAAAUUAGGAAGCAAGGUCAUACUUGCAUCACUGCUGUUAGGCUGCUACCACUGACUCCUCUGCUCCUGCACUCCCAAAAGCACCAUCAAGAAAAACCCCACACACAGUUCCUUCAUCUUUGCCUUACUUGCUGAAGAUUAGAAGUCCCAGGGAAUCCAACCUUAUUUUAUCUUUGAAAAUAUCCUGAAGUGCCAAAUAAACCAACAGUCUGAAGCGGGGGAAGACUCUAGCCCCAGCAAUACCUGCGACUACUAAUGAAAAAGACUUGACGGACUGAAACUGCCCGAGAUUUCUCACAUAAUGUCAUCAUUACGUGGAUGUGCUUCAGUGCUCUGAAAUAAUGGCACUUUAAUCUCAAGUCCACCUGCCACCAUCUGAAAAGGGGGGAAAAAAGCCAAAGAUAUAAAAUACUGAAGAAAGGAUACUGGAUGGCAUGCAGAAUCUUUGGAAGAACAACCAGAUUGCCAGGCAACACAGCUAGAAAAGUGCCCCAAAUCUCACCACAGAACAGAUUUAAUGAAAAUCGCACUUCUGCACUGCUGGGCCAUUAUUACUAUGACCACCGAGAAUGCUGCCUCUAAAGAGUGGAUGGACCUGCUCUCACUGCCCUGCUGCUUCCUGUCCCUAGA
rnacentral:lncRNA from 1 species